UACGGAGGUGCGAGCGUUGUCCGGAAUCACUGGGCGUAAAGGGCGCGUAGGCGGCCUGAUAAGUAGGGGGUGAAAUCCUGCGGCUUAACCGCAGGGCUGCCUUCUAAACUGUCAGGCUAGAGCACAGUAGAGGCAGGUGGAAUUCCCGGUGUAGCGGUGGAAUGCGUAGAGAUCGGGAAGAACAUCAGUGGCGAAGGCGGCCUGCUGGGCUGUUGCUGGACGCUGAGGCGCGACAGCGUGGGG
rnacentral:rRNA from 1 species